UAAGAGGUCCCGCCUGCCCUGUGACUUAAAGUUUAACGGCCGCGGUAUUUUGACCGUGCAAAGGUAGCGCAAUCACUUGUCUUUUAAAUGAAGACCUGUAUGAAUGGCAUCACGAGGGCUUAGCUGUCUCCUUUUUCAAGUCAAUGAAAUUGAUCUCCCCGUGCAGAAGCGGGGAUAAUAAUAUAAGACGAGAAGACCCUAUGGAGCUUUAGACCUAAUGCAGUCCACGAAUAAUACUUUUGAUGAAGAAAGAAAAGCUCAAUGGCUCCUGCACGCCUGUCUUUGGUUGGGGCGACCGCGGGGAAAAACAAAACCCCCAUGAGGAUUGAGAGUUCUACUCCUAAAACCAAGAGCCACAGCUCUAAGUAACAGAAAUUCUGACCUAAAUGAUCCGGGAAACCGAUCAACGAACCGAGUUACCCUAGGGAUAACAGCGCAAUCCCCUUCCAGAGCCCAUAUCGACAAGGGGGUUUACGACCUCGAUGUUGGAUCAGGACAUCCUAAUGGUGCAGCCGCUAUUAAGGGUUCGUUUGUUCAACG
rnacentral:rRNA from 1 species